rnacentral:rRNA from 1 species
AACGAACGCUGGCGGCAGGCUUAACACAUGCAAGUCGAGCGCCCCGCAAGGGGAGCGGCAGACGGGUGAGUAACGCGUGGGAAUCUACCCAUCUCUACGGAAUAACGCAUGGAAACGUGGGCUAAUACCGUACACGUCCUUCGGGCAAAAGAUUUAGCGGAAAUGGAUGAGCCCGCGUUGGAUUAGCUAGUUGGUGGGGUAAAGGCCUACCAAGGCGACGAUCGAUAGCUGGUCUGAGAGGAUGAUCAGCCACACUGGGACUGAGAAACGGCCCAGACUCCUACGGGAGGCAGCAGUGGGGAAUAUUGGCAAAUGGGCGCAAGCCUGAUCCAGCCAUGCCGCGUGAGUGAUGAAGGCCCUAGGGUUGUAAAGCUCUUUCACCGGUGAAGAUAAUGACGGUAACCGGAGAAGAAGCCCCGGCUAACUUCGUGCCAGCCGCCGCCGUAAGAC